GUGAUGCCAGGGAUUUACACCAGAAUUUCUGGCAUACUCAACUCUGUGUUUUGGCUGCCUGUAUGUAUUUGGAAAUGAGGGUAUUAAAAAGGAAGGGAACAUUAUUCAUUCCAAUGCUUAGCAUAAUGCAGCAUUUCUAAAUGUUCAAAGCACUGUCCAGACAUCAUCUUAAUAAUCUCAUAAUCUUUCCAGGAAUAUAAACAGAGUUUAUCUCCUUCUAAUGCUGAAGCAAAUUUCUCAAGGGCAGGAAUGGGAAAGGCUCCACUUCUCUUAUUUCACAGAAUCACAGAAUCACAGGAUUUGGAAGGGAUGUCAAGAGAUCGAGUCCAAACCCCCUGCUAAAUUUUCAGGUAAGUUUGGACUGAGAGCCUUGAAGCAAUUGGCUGGAAAAAUCAUUAAACCUUCCAGAUGGACUCUGCUUUGUCUUUGGACUGGUUGACCCAUCUCACGACUGUGUGCCCAGGCAGUGCUGCCUGCCGGUCCUGAGGCGCUGAAGUCACAAUACAAGCAAUGGAAAUUUUCCAAACUGGGGAAGAACAGCUGGGUGUUGGACAGUUGGCACCAUGAUGAAGAAGAAGAUGAAAUAAAGGAGAAGAAAUAGGUGGUCGUAGACCAUCAUAGUCCCCAGCUGCACGUUCCCAGAGGGACACUAGUAUAUAUUGAUGAUUUCUUAGAAAACAGUGAAUGAAUAUGUAUGCCAGUGUAUUUUGUAUGUCUGUAUUAACUGUUUAAAUGUAGAACCAGAACUCUAAGUCACCCAGUACAUAUUGUGAGAAUAAAGGAAUGCUGGCUU